CCAAAAACUGACACAGGUAGGCGAGCAGAGUAUGCUCAGGCGUUGAGAUAAUUAUCAUUAAGGAACUCGGCAAAUUGACCCCGUAACUUCGGGAUAAGGGGUGCCUAUGAUGUUAUUAAAGUUUACUUUAAGAAGCAUCGUUAGGUUACAACAAAGAGGCCCAACCGACUGUUUAACAAAAACACAGGGCUCUGCAAACUCGUAAGAGGAAGUAUAGAGUCUGACGCCUGCCCAGUGCUGGGAUGUUAAUAGGAGAGGUCAACUCGUAAGGGUGAAGCCUUGAAUUGAAGCACCAGUAAACGGCGGCCGUAACUAUAACGGUCCUAAGGUAGCGAAGUCCCUUGUCAGGUAAGUUCUGACCCGCAUGAAUGGCGUAACGAGUUGGGCACUGUCUUAAUGAUAAACUCAGUGAAUUUGUAGUACCGGUGAAAAUGCCGGUUACCCGCGAAAGGACGGAAAGACCCCGUGCACCUUUACUAUAGCUUGACGUUGAUUUUUGGAUUGGUUUGUGUAGGAUAGGCGGGAGACUGUGAUGUUGCGGCGCUAGCUGCAGCGGAGUCAACCUUGAAAUACCGCCCUUAGCAAUUUGAAGAUCUAACCCUGUUCCGUAAUCCGGGCAGGAGACAAUGUCUGGUGGGUAGUUUGACUGGGGUGGUCGCCUCCCAAAAUGUAACGGAGGCGUUCAAAGGUUCCCUCAAGACGAAUAGAAAUCGUCGGUAGAGCGUAAAGGCAGAAGGGAGCUUAACUGCAAGACAAACAAGUCGAGCAGAUGCGAAAGCAGGACUUAGUGAUCCAGUGGUACCGUAUGGAAGGGCCAUUGCUAAACGGAUAAAAGGUACGCCGGGGAUAACAGGCUGAUCUCCUCUAAGAGUCCACAUCGACGAGGAGGUUUGGCACCUCGAUGUCGGAUCUUCACAUCCUGGGGCUGAAGAAGGUCCCAAGGGUUUGGCUGUUCGCCAAUUAAAGUGGAACGUGAUCUGGGUUCAGAACGUCGUAAGACAGUUCGGUCCUUAUCCUUCGUGGGCGCAGGGUAUUUGAGGAGGGCUGUCCCUAGUACGAGAGGACCGGGAUGGGUAAGCCUCUGGUGUUCCAGUUGUUCACCAAGAGCAGCGCUGGGUAGCUAAGCUUACUAGAGAUAACCGCUGGAAGCAUCUAAGUGGGAAACUCGCUCCAAGAUAAGAUACCCCGACGAAAGUCAUAAGAUCCCUUGAAGACUACAAGGUUGAUAGGCUGGGUGUGUAAGCACAGUAAUGUGUUCAGCUAACCAGUACUAAUAGAUCGAAUGUUUUGAUCAC
rnacentral:rRNA from 1 species